AUCGUAACCCUUUUUUUACCAAACCCAAUUUGCCGCGUCGAAUUUGCAUCAUUACAAUUUCUCUCCAAUUUUCAAUUCUUAGUUUCAUGAAAGGAUCAUCGAUCUGUUUCUCAUAAGAUCGUUAGAGUUCUACAAAAUAUGUUUCACUUAUGAAAAUUCUCAUUCAAUGAAGUCGCGAAUCUGCCACCGUGAGAUAUCGGUUGAUCCGCGAAUGAUCGUGUGUUUUUCUGUGAGGUUCGUGUUUGAAUCAGAGCAAUUAACACGGAAUCAAUUGUAUAAUUGUAGAGUUUAUGAUAACAAUCGUAUAGGAUAUUAAUUAUAUUUUGUAUCCAUUGCAAAUUCGGUUGGCGAGAUCAGAAGUUUAGGCAUAGCAACACAAGGUAUUUGACAAUUUGUUGUGUUUCUAUGUUAUUAGUUUGUUAAUUGUGAAUGGAUCUUUGCUAUGUCAGGUGCGCUUGCAUAGCAGAUCCGAAAAAUCUUAAUAAAAUUGAAGUUAUUUUGUUUUGAGAGGGGAGAGAUAGGUUUGGGGAUUUUUUUUUUUUCCCCAACCUAUUUUUCUUUCCCUCUGUUGUGCGUGUGUGUCUUGUGUCUUCUCCUUUCUCUUUUCUAUUCUGUUAUUUUUUUCUUCUUUUAUUUUUCAAUGCACCCCACCGCAUCGCACAUGAUAUGAUUCUAAUCAGCAAUCUAUCGUCGUUACGAAACCCAAUUCAACAAGUAAUCGCCGACAUGAUUAUUUUGUUUAUUUUGUUAUAAUAUUGCUCAAUUUAUCAUAGAAUUAAGUAAUUUAUAAUCUGUUUUAUACUAAUAAUUAACUCACAUCCUGAAUUCAUGACAUUAUUUUACGGUGUAUUUGAUUAAAUUGAAGGGUAUGGCUGCAAUUUAAUUCUACGAUAUGUUGUUUGUUGUUCACGCUUCAAUCAUCUAAGACAGACACGUCCAAUAUUCUUGAUCAAUUGACUAUUUUAUUUUACCACUUACAUUUCAAUGUCUUUUCGUUAUUUCUAGUAAUAAAUUUUGUUAAGUUAACUAUUAUUGGAAUUCAGUCAAACAUUUAACCAAAGGAAUUUUCUAACAUGCACUUGGUUUUGUAGUGGUACACAUUCAACAAGUAUACUCAGAAGAGGAAAAAGUUACUGUCAAUUCAAUAUUCUAUAAUUUUAAUUCAAUUCAGUAUCAAACAUAUUGAUAUACCUUUUCAUUACCACUUAAGAGUUUUUAAUUUUGUACAAUAACUGAGUUGCAUUGGAUCAUCUGAAUUAUUUGUCUGGGCAAGCAAGCUUAUUUAGUGAAUACAAAAAAAUAUGCAGAUGCAUAUGUCAUUUAAAUAUAUAAUAUCAAGUUCUCAACUCAUGAAGUUUAUCUAAAUUUCGGUGUAUAUCUUUAUGUUGGUAAAUAUCUGAUAAACCAUCUUUGCUCAAUACUAUGACUGUUGAUACUGGUCGGCGAUUCUCUGCUGUAUCUUAUGCUCUUCAUUGGAUUUGUAAUUGGGUUUCUCGGGUUGGGAGUUUGUUGUAUGAAAUGUUUUAAAAAGAAGCUGAGGAGCUCACUAACUGGUGAUCAGGGAUGGCUAUAUGAACUGUAUCAAUUGCUUCUUCAUGUUGUAGUUAUCAUAUGGAUGAUUCAAGCUCUUUGGACAAAUUGUGCUACUACUUUGUGAAGUAGUGGAAGUCAUUUGAUGCUUUGCUUGAGGUUUAUAUUUGAUGGUGGAACUUUUGACUUCGUGCUGGAGACUCGAGUGCAAGAGAUUUUGGCUUUAUGUCCUACAUAAACAAUAAACGAUUUUGCAUAUCCAAAAAUUUGUGACCAGUCUUGUGUCUUUUAUAGCCUUGGUCAUCAUUACUGCAUUACUGAAUUUCUUCGUCAUUGUUCCAUAAUCCCAGGAACACUGCAUUGGGAUGACAUCGAGCUGACAUGCAAUACAAGGUGUAGGGUCAAGGGUAUCCACAAUCUGCUUUACUUUGCUAAGUUUAAACGAAAAGACUCACUGUAACAAGAGUUUAUCAUAUUAUGCUGGUUUUAAUUUUGGGGGUCUAGUGUAGAAUUGCUAGUAUUGGAAGUCGCUUAUUUUUAUUCUCCCAAUGAUAUGAUGCUUUUGGUAGUAGUCGAAGGUUUAUAUAUAUGGGUGAAAGGAUCAUAUAUAAAGAGACCUUUUUCUUCCUAUAUUUUUUAAAAUUCACAAAUGUGAGAAGAUAUACGUUCGUAUGUGAAAAAAAAUGGAAUUACAUUAUUUGCCUUCAA